rnacentral:rRNA from 1 species
UACGGGGGGGGCGAAGCGUUGUUCGGUAAUUACUGGGCGUAAAGGGCUCGUAGGCGGCCAACUAAGUCAGACGUGAAAUCCCCUCGGCUUAACCGGGGAACUGCGUCUGAUACUGGAUGGCUCGAGUUUGGGAGAGGGAUGCGGAAUUCCAGGUGUAGCGGUGAAAUGCGUAGAUAUCUGGAGGAACACCGGUGGCGAAGGCGGCAUCCUGGACCAACACUGACGCUGAUGAGCGAAAGCCAGGGGAGCAAACGGG